CUUCUUGAUAUCUCGAAGGGUCAUGACUUCCUUUCUAGUUAAAUUAUCUGGUUUAUUUCCUCUCGUUUUAAUUUCUCUUAAAUCUUUGAGGCAUAAUUUUUCGAAAAUUUUCAUAUGGUCAGUUUUAAGAUGGCUAGGAUAAAAAACUUAGACUUUUUCUUAAAAUCUGUGUGUUUAAAAAGAUCAUCUAGUUUAUCAUUUUUUUCUUUAUUCCCCUCAAGUUUAUUAAAAAACUUCUUCAAACAUAAUUUUCUAAAAAAACGAUGAAUAUCUAAAAACGUUUCAAAUUUAUCUAUUUCACACGCAGGGGCAUAUUUAAAGCCCUUGCCCAAAACUUGUUCAUGAAUCGGUGUCAAAAAUUUAUCAGAUAAAUUAAAAAUCCUUAUUUUCUGUUCAUUCUUUAUGAGUGCUAUCUCCUCAGUAUCCUUUCCUCUUUUCUCCUUUUGUUUAGUUUUUUGAAUUCUGGUACCUCCUCUUCUAUUUCUCUUAUCCUUUUUACUGGGGUCUGUAUUUUCUUCCUUCUGUCUGAAAGUCUUGACAUUGUUAUCC